UAUAUAUAUAUAAUAAAAUACAAAAUGGGAGAAGAACGCAAAACAUCAGGACAACUAGGUGAUACAAAAAGGGACAACAAAACAAGCUGAUAGACGAUACAAAAAACAAGGACGGGUCAUUCGAAGCCUUUGAUCCUCAGUCAAGAACCGGAUCAUCCUCGCAAUUUCGGCUGAUUAGUAUAUAUAUGUACGACGGGCUUCUUUCAGUUUCUGUCUACUAAAUCCACCACAAGGAUUUGGUCGGCCCGAGGCCAUAGUAGACGGCACUUGCCCAAGGUGCCGUACAGUGAGACUGAACUCGGAACCAUGUGGCUGGGAAGCAAGCUUCUUACACACAGCCAUUCCUACGCCUAUAUAUAUAUAUAUAUAUAUAUAUAUAUAUAUAUAUAUAUAUAUAUAUAUAUAUAUAUAUAUAUAUAUAUAUAUAUAUAUAUAUAUAUAUAUAUAUAUAUAUAUAUAUAUAUAUAUAUAUAUAUAUAUAUAUAUAUAUAUAUAUAUAUAUAUAUAUAUAUAUAUAUAUAUAUAUAUAUGUUGUGGAGGUGCAAUGGCCUAGUGGUUAGGGCAGCGGACUCGCGGUCGCAGGAUCGCGGUUUCGAUUCUCAGACCGGGCGUUGUGAGUGUUUAUUGAACGAAUCGGACUGAUUUCUGGAUUGAUCCACAAUUUUUUUCCUUUGCUCUUAUUUAUAAUUGUUUAUAAUUUUCACCUUGAAAGGUAUUUUAACAUGCUAGCCACUAUCCUGAAGGGCGCAGGUGUGGCUGUGUGCUAAGUAGCUAUCUUACCAACCACAUGUUUCCGGGGUCAGUCCCACUGCGUAGCACCUCGGGCAGUUGUCUUCUGUAAUAGCCUGGGCUGACCAAAGCCUUGUGAGUGGAUUUGGUAGACGGCAACUGAUAAAAGGCCGCCGUAUAUAUAAAUUUGUGUGUGUGUGUAUGUUUUGUGUGUCAGUGUUUGUCGAUGGUGGUGAGUUUACAUCACCGUAACCUAGCGGUUCAGCAAAAGAGGCCGAUAGAAUAAGUACUAGGCUUACGAAGAGUAAGUCCUGGCGUCGAUUUGCUCGCCUAAAGGCGGUGCUCCAGUAUGGCCGCGGUCAAAUGACUGAAACAAAUAAAAGAAUAAAAGUAAGAAAAAGUAUUAUAUUAGAAGUAUAUAUAUAUAUAUAUAUGAAAAAACAAGUAAAAAAUAGAAAAUGCUAAAAUAAUUUUAUAGUGAACAUUUCAGUACCGGUUUCGGUCAUUUUGAGACCUUUUCAACUGUAACGAUUAAAUAAUUAAAUUUAGAAAAAUUAGAAGAAAAGUUUUUUUAAAAGAAUAUUUCUAUAGUAGUGUUCAGAUUUAAGUGGCAUUCUGCCUUUCUCUGACUCCCUUGUUUGCACUUGUGUGUUCGAGGUAGUUGUGAGUUCUUGGUAGGGUAGUAGAGGGAAGGCUGGUGAGGAAAGGGGGUGGGAGAAUCUGGGAGUGCCCUGAUGGUCGUAUUUUGAAUGGUCAGUGGCGGCUGGCAGUCUCAGUUCAAUUCAGGAUUGUUUAUAGAAUUAGCGUAGGUGUUAUACUAAAAAACAUUAGUGACAAACUUAAGGGGUAGGGGGUGGAGAAGAAGAAGAAGAAGAAGAAGAAGAAGAAGGAGAAGGAGAAGAUGAUGGUGAUGGUGGUGAUGAUUAUGACGACGAUGAUGAUGAUAACGAUGAUGAUGAAGAAGAAGAAGAAGAAGAAGAAGAAGAAGAAGAAGAAGAAGAAGAAGGAGAAGGAGAAGAUGGUGGUGAUGAUGGUGGUGAUGAUGAUGACGCCGAUGAUGAUGAUAACGAUGAUGAUGAAGAAGAAGAAGAAGAAAAAAACAGAGAAGGGAGAAUAUGAAUGGGUGUAAAUAUAGCUAUGAAGGGGCUGAUUAGUAAUGGAUUCUAUGGAGUGUAGUAUUUGUGUGUGUAUAUAUAUUUUUUUCUUUUAUUCUAAAGUUGAGGUAUAUUAAUUGUUUGUCGUAGACCCGUUAAGAAGUGGCUUGUAUUUUGUAAUAAAGAGAUUUUCUUUACUUAUUCUUUGUCUCGAGGUUGUAUCGUCCCUAAAUUGGUAGAGGGGGAAAAUUCUGAAGUUUGGUGUUUUUUUGUUGGCGCAAGUAUCUAUGUGUUGGCUAAAAGCUAUUUUUCUGUUUUGGGGAAUUUUUAUCUGGGAUCUGUGCAGGGCCAUUCGUUUACGCAAACCAUUUUUUGUUUGGCCUAUGUACUGCUCUUGACACCCGGAGCAGGUUAGUGAGUAUAUUAGGUUCUCCGAAGCACAUGUGAAGUUGCUUUUCACUGUAAACCGUUGUCCCUGUUUGAAGGAGAACUCCGAACCCUCGAUUAGAUAGUCGCAUAUCCCGCAAUUGGGUCUUCCACAUUUUUUUACUGUCGGCUUCUGUGUUGAAGAGUGAAUUCGGGCUUGUGUAAGGAGACUUUUCAUGGAUCUAGGCUGUCUUUUGCUUUUUAUGAUCGUGUGUGUUUGGAGGAUUGUGUUCAUUCUGUGGUCUUUUUUU
rnacentral:lncRNA from 1 species